GGGAAAAUGACUAAAUUGGCAACACUGAGUAGUUGAUGACAGGGGAGGGAUGAGAGAGUUCAGAAAGGGCUGGGAGCCAGGACUCCUGGGUUCUGCCCCCAGCUCGUGUUUUCCCAGGACCUGAAGUUAGGGGGGGGUCCUAUUUGGGGGCAGGAGUUGGGCAAAUAACUAAACUGGCAACCCCGUGACCACAGGGUGGGAUGGGAUCCUGGGCUCGUGGGUUCUCAGCCUGGCUCUGGGAGGGAUGUGGGGUCUUCUAGUGGUUAGAGCAUGUGGGGGUUGCAUGAGCCAGGACUCCUGGGAUCUAUCUGCAGCUCUCGGCAGGGAAUGGGGUCUGCUGGUUAGAGUGGGGGGACUGGGACCCAGGACUCAUCCUGGGUUCUUCUGCAGUUGGAAAAGGGAGACCAGGUCCUGUUAUGGAGCCAGAACCUGACUCCAGCUUCUGCUUCUGCUCCCGCUAUGUGGCCAUUUCUCACCAGCGCCCACAAUCUAAAAUAAAGUCCUGUUAGCUAAACCCCAG